rnacentral:rRNA from 1 species
AGUGAACGCUGGCGGUAGGCCUAACACAUGCAAGUCGAACGGCAGCACAGUAAGAGCUUGCUCUUACGGGUGGCGAGUGGCGUACGUGUGAGGAAUACAUCGUAAUCUACUUUUUCGUGGGGGAUAACGUAGGGAAACUUACUCUAAUACCGCAGACGACCUACGGGUGAAAGCAGGGGAUCGUCGGACCUUGCGCGAUUGAAUGAGCCGAUGUGUGAUUAGCUAGUUGGCGGGGUAAAGGCCCACCAAGGCGACGAUCCGUAGCUGGUCUGAGAGGAUGGUCCGCCACACAGGAAGUGAGAGACGGCCCAGACACCUACGGGAGGCAGAAGUGGGGAAUAUUGGACAAUGGGCGCAAGCCUGAACCAGCCAUACCGCGCGGAUGAAGAAGGCCCUCGGGUUGUAAAGCCCUUUUGUUGGGAAAGAAAAGCAGCAGGUUAAAACCCCGCUGUUCUGACGGUACCCAAAGAAUAAGCACCGGCGAACUUCGU